CAGUGAGCCAAGCAGCUGCCCUCUCCUUUGGGAGUAGCUUGAACGAUAAUUAUGAAAUUCUUGUACUCCGUGGUGAUGUCUCCUUCAAUCACUUUGAAGGUGGUUGACAGCUUCUCAUCGUCUAUAGCUUCAAUAACCUCCUUAGCAGUCUUAGCAACCCCAUCUAUUAAUGUUUUUUGCAUAAAAAUUAAAUUAAAUGUCAGUACGUCAUGAAUCACUGCCUUGAUAUGUCAUGCUACUCUUAAUAAUAAUUUGUUUCUGAAAGUGUAUAUGAGGUUAACCUUUCAUCAACCUGAAAGUCAUAAAAUUUCUCCAACAAUGGAUUUACCCUAGAUGAAGACAGAAAUCGGCUCUCUUCUCAUAAAGCACAACUAUAGAUCAUAGCUGAUUGUAGACUAAUUGUGAUGUAAACUUAUGGUUAGUGUGUGUGUGUGUGUGUAUGAUCAAAAACAUGAAGAUAUAUAUAUACAUGAUUAAGGAGCAUGAGCAGUGCAAUCCUUAAUAUAUUUUUUGGUAAGGGAUGAUCUAUAUAUGACGACACAGCCUUACCAUGUACAUAACUCCAGCAGAUUACAGUGCCCGGCUUCCCCCAUUCACCUUCAUGCAGAUCAACAUUCUGUAUCUUGGCAGGGCUCAUAUUGGAAACGUGGUGUGUUCUGCAGCUGAAGAUAUCAUGAAAUGUUUCAGCAGAAACUUUGAUCUCUACUUCAGCCUCCAUCUUACCAAAGAGUGUCAUUUUGUUGCGCAGGUAAUCAAACUAUAAACAGUGUAAGCUUUGAGAUAACAAAAUCAAUUAUAGCAGGUGUAGGGAAAAUGCUUUGGGAUCUUAUCCUUAUAGAGACGCGGGAUAAUUAUACACCUAGACUAGAAGAUGAUGAGAUCAAUUAUUGACCUUCAUUAUUUAGGGUUUUCUAUAUUUAAUUCUAUCCAGUUGGUUUUCUUGCAGGUUUGUCUCCCCCGACUCCCCUUUUUUAUAUUUUAUGUAUCAUUUAUAGAUGAUUCUCUUACUCUGCUUACUAUUUUUAAAAUGUGGCCAUUUUGUUAUAAUAAAAUUCACUCCUCAAUCCAAUAAGAUUUUAAGGGCAUGUUAACUCAAAAUCUAUAUACGUCGAUAAUUAAUGGUAUUCUAAGAAAUCUCUGCAGUCUAAUUCUUGUCAGAAAGAUAUAACAAAUUGACCCGAGAAUUAAAGCGUGGAACUGGAAAGUUCCAUUGAAUGAAAAAAAGAUUGAAUUACAUAGUAAUUGGAUCUAAAUAAAAUAAAAUAAAAGUUUUUUGGUUUAUUCAAGGUAAGCUCGGCAAAUAAGUAUUUGGAGGGUUUGUAGUUUUUAUUUUUUAAUGUAUUUUAUAAAUAUAUUUAAUUUAAAAAAUAUCUAAUUAAUAUUUUUCAAUGAUUUUGAUGUAUUUAUAUUAAAAAUAUAAGAUAUAAAAAAAUUAUUUUGAUAUGUUUUAUUAAAAUUGUAAAUUUUAUCAAUUUUAAUGUCUCGAAUUUAAAAAAAAUAUAAAAUUUACAACCAUGAUUAAUGGUAUUUUCAAAAAUCAGUCUGUGAAUAGGUACGUAGCAGCUCAAUUGAUAUUAAUAUUUCAAUUCUUAUUAAAAAUUCUUGAAUUUGAAUUUUAUUUAUACAUAAAAAAUAGUACAGCAUAUAUAACAUGAAAUUGAAGUUAAGGGAGAGGUCAAUUUGUAGGAACAAGUAGGAUUUAUUACAUUACGUUUUUUUGUUGAAAUUUCUUGAUGAGCCAUGCUGAUGUGGGCUUAUGGGUCCAUCCACGCAGCUUGAAGACAACAGGGAAAACAAUUGGGAAUUUUAAAUAAUUAAAAGGAGUGGGCAAUAAUUUAUUGCGAAAUUACAUGUGCAGGUAUGGCAUUUAAGUUAGAGGGGUAAGCUUGUCCACAAAAAUAAUUGAUUUUUUAAAUAACUGAUAAUAAUCUCCGUAUCUUGUGAGAGAGAUUUAAGGGCAUAAAAAAUCGUGCACUGGUGAUGUUAUCAAACUUCACGUAUCAGAUAAUAUUGCUACGUGCGCGCACGUGUAUACACACACACACGCACGUAUGUAUAUAGAAACACAAGUAUGAACUUGUGUACAAUAUAACAAAAGUCCCAUAUCUAUUAUUAUCAGAGUGGUUAUUUUUUAAAAUAUUUUUUUUAUUUUUAAUAUUUAUUUUUUAUAUUGAUAUAUUAAAAUUAUAUAAAAAUAUUAAUUUAAAGCAAAAAAAAAUUAAAUAUUUUAAAAAAGUAUUUUUGAAAUGCAAAAAAAAAAACCUUAAAAUCAAAAGUAUGAUAUCUAUUAAUGGUUUGAAAAAACAAGUUGGAUAAAAAAUUAUCUAGGCAUGGAUUAAAUUAAAAAGGCAUGAAACUUAAUGUAAGAAAGUUAUUUUCUUGUUAAUAAAUUUUAUAUUUAGGCUUUCUAUUUUUCUUAAGAGUAGAUUUGAAAAAUGAAUUUUAAUUUAAAUCAUAUUUUGUUUGAAGGAUUCUACGGAAUUGGUUGAUUUGGUCAAGAUUAAUUAAGCACACCCAUUUAAUUUAUAGACGAGUCAAAAUAGGUUUUUAGGAUAGGUUUAUACCUAUGCAAAUGAUAAAAAAAUAAUAACAACAACUAUAGUCGUUUCUUUCCUUUUACGUAUGUAUAUUUAUUUGUCUAUUUUUUUUUUCUUUCUUAUUCUAUGGAUUGGAUUUGAUCUUUCCUCUUUGCAAUUGUUGAUUAGCUGUAACCGUACCUACGCCAUCAGUCUCCCAGUUACCAUGAUGUGCAUUAGCUGCUUGUAUAUCACCUGGUGGGCUUGGCUCUUCCAUAGAUUGUAGACCUUUGAGUUCUGCGACUGUCUCCAGCUUACCUUACAGAGCCAUGAUUCUGUAAUAUAUUCAAUAUCUUACAAGAAGACAAUAUUUGAGAAAAGCAAUUUGGCUGACUUGUCUCUGUGUACUAGCCACUCAGUUUCUG
rnacentral:lncRNA from 1 species